rnacentral:lncRNA from 1 species
CUGUUUGAAUAGUUGAUCACAGAUUCACAGAAGGUUCGAUGAACUCGAUUUAUUUCCUUCAUUGUUCAUGGUAUUCACGUCCUUAAUCCUUUUGUACACCAUGAAAUAUCACCAACCUAUCACUCAAAACAUAUUUUACGGCGAUCGGACUAACCACACAUAAGCUAUAUAACUUUAUAUGUUUAUCACUAUUCGCCAAAGACCGAGGUGAAAUUAAUCGAUGUAUGACAAUGGCCAAAUUCCACGCUUAAAUUCGUUUGUCAUCCUCAUAGUGACAAUUAAAUCAAAGAACAACCUCUUCUUUAUGAUAUUUCAAAGUAUCAUGAGUUUUGCUUGGAUACAUAAAAAGCUAGAGCACUUUUAGUGGCUCUAUUUCGCAUUCCGCCAU